rnacentral:rRNA from 1 species
AUUGAACGCUGGCGGCAGGCCUAACACAUGCAAGUCGAGCGGAUGAAGGGAGCUUGCUCCUGGAUUCAGCGGCGGACGGGUGAGUAAUGCCUAGGAAUCUGCCUGGUUGUGGGGGAUAACGUCCGGAAACGGGCGCUAAUACCGCAUACGUCCUGAUGGAGAAAGUGGGGGAUCUUCGGACCUCACGCUAUCAGAUGAGCCUAGGUCGGAUUAGCCAGUUGGUGGGGUAAAGGCCUACCAAGGCGAGGAUCCGUAACUGGUCUGAGAGGAUGAUUAGCCACACUGGAACUGGAACACGGUCCAGGCUCCUACGGGAGGCAGCAGUGGGGAAUGUUGGACAGUGGGCGAAAGCCUGAUCCAGCCAUGCCGCGUGUGUGAAGAAGGUCUUCGGAUUGUAAAGCACUUUAAGUUGGGAGGAAGGGCAGUAAGUUAAUACCUUGCUGUUUUGACGUUACCAACAGAAUAAGCACCGGCUAACUUCGUG